GGCGGAGCGAGCUGGGCGGCGCGCGGCGCGCUGGGACUGUGAGGACACCUCGGCGGAGCCGCUGGAGCCGGCUUGGCUUGAGUGACAACUUCUAUCUGAAUGAUAUAUACAUCUGAGAACUGCUGCUGACUUCUUGAAGAUCCCCUGGAGGAGGAAAUAGCAACCCACUCCAGUAUUCUUGCCUGGAAAAUCCCGUGAACAGAGGAGCCUGGCGGGCUACAGUCCAUAGGGUUGUGAAGAGUCAGACAUGACUGAGCACUUUCACACACAGCACAGCUGGCUGACUUCUUAAAUCUCUUCUCACUCUUAGAUAAGAGUGAAAAGUGAUCUUUUCCAGUCCUGUGGCCACUGCUGAGUUUUCCAAAUUUGCUGGCAUAUUGAGUGCAGCACUUUCACAGCAUCAUCUUUCAGGAUUUGAAAUAGCUCAACUGGAAUUCCAUCACCUCCACUAGCUUUGUUUAUAGUGAUGCUUCCUAAGGCCCACUUGACUUCACAUUCCAGGAUGUCUGGCUCUAGGAGGAAGAAGCUAUUUGGCAGUCAAAGAUGGACAUUUCUCCUAAAGAGGAUAUUGGAAAAGGAAGAACUCCUCAGAAGGUGGAGCUGUGUUCCCUCCCUGCAAUUUACCUGGGGCCAAACUAUGGUGGAGGUAAUGAACAUAAUGGUGACCUCCUUCAAAAGAUCCCAUGCAUGUACUGCUACACUCAGUGCCCCCAACUCUGCAGCAGGCCACCACCAACCCGCGCCUCUGCUGGAGACUCCUGGACACUCACGGGCAAAUCUGUCACCUUUAUCUCCCAUCUCCAAGGACUGCUGAUAGUGGAUCAAAUCAAACCAUCACUUUGGAGAUAAGACUUUGCUGAGACGGAAGGAAGAAAAGUUCAUGAGGAGCUGCUUUGGAAGCUAUGCAAAGAGUAAGAGAUGCAAGGGAUGGAUUAUGGUGACCCUGACUUAUUUCCCCAGCUUCUGAGAAUGCUGCUGGAAGAUGAUCCUCAGCUGUCAACCUUCUGUAGGAAUUUCCUCAGAAGAAAACUGCCUUGCCCAAGGUCAUGACUCCUUUCCAGGAUAGCUGGUAUCCUGUGAUCCAUCAGAGUGGGAAUAUAAAGGUCUGACCCCAUGUUCCAACUCAGGACAGUUGUGAAGGGCUGUCCCACCUGCACAGCUACAUGUGGGGUCAGCUGAGGCUUCACUGGGACUGCAUUACGGCUCAGCUUCUACCUCUGCCCGAUCCUACUUCAUUCUCUUCUCUUCCAUGAGUAUUGAUCCUGAAUGCACUCCUCAGUAAGCUUCACACACACUAAUCUCCUCAAGCUCUGCUUCUGAGGAAAUCCAACUGGAGACAAUAGAAUAUUGUCUCCAGUACCUGAACUCACUACAUGCUUGUAACCAGGCAUAUAACUAAUUACAGUUCCUCAACAUGCCAAAAGGAUCUGUACAUGUUCUCCCUGCCUCAGGUACCCAGGCCAUUUUGGUCAGGCCAACUCACAUUCAUGCUCCAAGACUAAGCUCCAGACAGUUUUACCACCUCCUUGAAGCCUCCUCUAACCCCACUGCCAUUCCCAACAUGUGCUCUUCCAGAAGCCUGUGCCUCCUUUGAGCACAUAUUUCACUGUACCAAUCUGGAAUUAUAGAUUUACUUGUCUGUACAAGACUGAGACUUCCUUAAACUCAACAUUUGUCUGGUCUUUCAUUUUUGUAUUCUAAUGCUAAUACAGGGCAUCUGAUAAUGAUGGGCAUUCAAUAAAUGUUUUUUAAAUGACUGAAUGGAAUAGAGACUUUUCUCU
ensembl:lncRNA